rnacentral:rRNA from 1 species
AUUGAACGCUGGCGGCAUGCUUUACACAUGCAAGUCGAACGGUAACAGGCCUUCGGGUGCUGACGAGUGGCGAACGGGUGAGUAAUGCAUCGGAACGUACCCAGAGGUGGGGGAUAACGCAGCGAAAGCUGUGCUAAUACCGCAUGUGAUCUGAGGAUGAAAGCGGGGGACCGAGCAGCAAUGUUUGGCCUCGCGCCUUUGGAGCGGCCGAUGUCGGAUUAGCUAGUUGGUGGGGUAAAGGCCUACCAAGGCGACGAUCCGUAGCUGGUCUGAGAGGACGACCAGCCACACUGGGACUGAGACACGGCCCAGACUCCUACGGGAGGCAGCAGUGGGGAAUUUUGGACAAUGGGCGCAAGCCUGAUCCAGCAAUGCCGCGGGCGGGAAGAAGGCCUUCGGGUUUUAAACCCGUUUUUGCAGGAACGAAACGGUGUCCGCUAAUACCGGGCGCUAAUGACGGUACCUGCAGAAUAAGCACCGGCUAACUACGUG